rnacentral:rRNA from 1 species
GGUAGUCCACGCCGUAAACGAUGCUCACUAGAUGUGGGGGGUAUCGACCCCCUCCGCGUCGAAGCUAACGCAUUAAGUGAGCCGCCUGGGGAGUACGGCCGCAAGGCUAAAACUCAAAGGAAUUGACGGGGGCCCGCACAAGCAGCGGAGCGUGUGGUUUAAUUCGAUGCAACGCGAAGAACCUUACCUGGGCUUGAACGUGCAGUGACAGCCGGUGAAAGCCGGUCUCCCUUCGGGGCAUUGUGCGAGGUGAUGCACGGCUGUCGUCAGCUCGUGCCGUGAGGUGUUGGGUUAAG